GGCUCUGUGGCGCAAUGGAUAGCGCGUUGGACUUCUAAUUCAAAGGCUGUGGGUUCGAAUCCCACCAGAGUCG
rnacentral:tRNA from 1 species